rnacentral:lncRNA from 1 species
GAGACCCCGAUGACAAUACACCCGAUGACUGAUCAGUGUUUAUUCUCGACUCGCGCUCUGCCUCCAGGCGCGAGUCUGGGAACUGGUCUGCUGGUGGCCACUUGGCUACUGACCACCGAUCACCAUUCUGGGUGAUCUGUCCCCUGACCUCUCUGCCGCCUGAUCUGUCGGUGGUAACUUGGUUACUGACCACCGAUCACCGCUCUUGGCGAUCGUCCCCCUGACCUCUCUGCCACCUGGUCCACGUGUCACCCUUCGAGUGGUCCACGUGGUUCUCUGUUGCUGACGUCAUCGACCACCGAUGACCGAUCGGAUCA